AACCUAGCACACCUGCGGUGUGUACCUGCGGAGGGAUCAUUAACAAGCUGUGGGAGAUCAAUUUGAUCUCACACCUGGCCAACCUUGUUAACCUUAAAUAUAUUGCUUUGGUGAGCCCUGCUCACCAAAGUCAAACCCUAAACUCUUGAUUGUUUCUGCUGUCUGAGCAUGCAAGUGCAAAAUUUAGUUAAAAACUUUUAACAAUGGAUCU
rnacentral:misc_RNA from 1 species